rnacentral:rRNA from 1 species
CCUACGGGUGGCAGCAGUGAGGAAUAUUGGUCAAUGGACGAGAGUCUGAACCAGCCAAGUAGCGUGAAGGAUGACUGCCCUACGGGUUGUAAACCUCUUUUAUAAAGGAAUAAAACGCGGCACGGGUGCCUUUUUGCGUGUACCUUAAGAAUAAGCAUCGGCUAACUCCGUGCCAGCAGCCGCGGUAAUACGGAGGAUCCGAGCGUUAUCCGGAUUUAUUGGGGUUAAAGGGAGCGUAGAUGGGUUGUUAAGUCAGUUGUUAAAGUUUGCGGCUAAACCGUCACAUUGCAAUUGAUACUGGCUGUCUUGAGUACAGUUGAGGUAGGCGGAAUGCGUGGUGUAGCGGUGAAAUGCAUAGAUAUCACGAAGAACCCCGAUUGCGAAGGCAGCUUACUAAACUGUGACUGACAUUGAUGCUCGAAAGUGUGGGUAUCAAACAGGAUUAGAUACCCCUGUAGUC